rnacentral:rRNA from 1 species
GUCGAGCGAAGCUUUUCAGUAGUUUACUACAGAAAAUGACUGAGCGGCGAACGGGUGAGUAACGCGUGAGCAACCUACCUUAGUUACUGGGAUAGCCCGAGGAAACUCGGACUAAUACCGGAUAUUCUUAUUUAAUCACAUGAUUUUUUAAGGAAAGGUCAGCCGAACUAAGAUGGGCUCGCGUUCUAUCAGCUAGUUGGUAGGGUAACGGCCUACCAAGGCUACGACGGAUAGCUGGUCCGAGAGGACGAUCAGCCACACUGGGACUGAGACACGGCCCAGACUCCUACGGGAGGCUGCAGCAGGGAAUAUUGUGCAAUGAACGAAAGUUUGACACAGCGACACCGCGUGUGGGAUGACGGAUCUAGGUUUGUAAACCACUUUCAGGAGGGAAGAAAAUGACGGUACCUCCACAAGAAGCCCCGGCCAACUACGUGCCAGCAGCCGCGGUAAUACGUAGGGGGCGAGCGUUGUCCGGAUUUAUUGGGCGUAAAGAGCUCGUAGGCGGUUCAACAAGUCGGUCGUGAAAGUUCAGGGCUCAACCCUGAAAUGUCGAUCGAUACUGUUGUGACUAGGAUACGGCAGAGGUGAGUGGAAUUCCGAGUGUAGCGGUGAAAUGCGUAGAUAUUCGGAGGAACACCAAUUGCGAAGGCAGCUCACUGGGCCGCUAUCGACGCUGAGGAGCGAAAGCUAGGGGAGCAAACAGGAUUAGAUACCCUGGUAGUCCUAGCUGUAAACGAUGGAUACUAGAUGUAGGAAUUGGUUUAACGAUUUCUGUAUCGUAGCUAACGCGUUAAGUAUCCCGCCUGGGGAGUACGGUCGCAAGACUAAAACUCAAAGGAAUUGACGGGACCCCGCACA